GCUGACACAUCCCGGCCAAUCUCCAGCAGACCCUCCCUCCCAGACCCUCCCACCUCCUGGACAGCAUCCAUGUUGAAGGCACCUCCUGGAUGCUGUCCAGGAGGUGGGAGGGUCUGGGAGGGAGGGUCUGCUGGAGUUUGGCCGGGAUGUGUCAG
rnacentral:miRNA from 1 species